UACGUAGGGGGCGAGCGUUAUCCAGAUUUACUGGGCGUAAAGCGCGUGUAGGCGGCUGGUUAGGUGUGAUGUGAAAUCCUCGGGCUCAACCCGAGAACUGCAUUGCAAACCGGCCUGGCUAGAGUGCAGGAGAGGGAUGCGGAAUUCCAGGUGUAGCGGUGAAAUGCGUAGAUAUCUGGAGGAACACCGGUGGCGAAGGCGGCAUCCUGGACCGGCAUUGACGCUGAGGCGCGAAAGCCAGGGGAGCAAACGGG
rnacentral:rRNA from 1 species